UUGACGGUACCCUACUAGAAAGGAGCCGCUAACUUCGUGCCAGAAGCGUCGGUAAUACGGGGGCUCCAAGCGUUAUCCGGUGUUAUUGGGCGUAAAGAGUCGUGUAGGUGGUUGGGUAAGUUAUCUUUCAAAUAUCUUUGCUUAACAAAGAGGAGGGGGAUAAUACUGCUCGACUAGAAUUUUCUCAAGGGAGAUCGGAACUGAGGGAGGAGUAGUGAAAUGCGUUGGUACCCUCGGGAACACCAGUGGCGUAGGCGGAUCUCUGGGAGAAGAUUGACACUGAGACACGAAAGCUGGGGGAGCGAAGCAGAUUAGAGACCUGCGUAGUCCUAGCCGUAAACGCAUGCUUGCUAGCUGCAUGAAUCUACCUUCGGGUGGUAUCGUGUGGCGAAGGUAACCCGUUAAGCAAGCCGCCUGGAAAGUACGGCCGCAAGGCUGAAAUUCAAAGGAAUUGGCGGGGAGGCACACAACCAGUGGAACAUGUGGUUUAAUUCGAGACUAACCGAAGAACCUCACCAGGGUUUGACAUGUAGCUGCACGUCUUAAGAAAUUAAGACUCUCUUGAAGGUGCUACACAGGUGCUGCAUGGCUGUCGUCAGCUCGUUCCGUGAGGAGUGCCCUUAAGUGGGACAACGAGCGCAACCCCUAUUACAUGUUAGAAAUGUCAUGUAAGACUGCCUUGCCAUUUGGCGGGGAGGAAGGAGGGGCAGACGUCAAGUCCGCAUGGUCCUUAUGCCCUGGGCUACACACAUGUUACAAUGAGUACGGCAAUGAGUCUGUCGCGAGCACGUAAGUGUAAGCUAAUCUCUUAAAUGUACUCUCAGUGGGGAUUGAGGUCUGCAACUCGACCUCAUGAACACGGAAUUGGUAGUAAUCGCGGGUCAGCUAUACCGCGGUGAAUACGUUCUUGCCUCUUGCACACACCGCCCGUCAAACCAGCAAAGU
rnacentral:rRNA from 1 species